GUGGGGAAUAUUGGACAAUGGGGGGAACCCUGAUCCAGCCAUGCCGCGUGUGUGAAGAAGGCCUUUUGGUUGUAAAGCACUUUAAGCGAGGAGGAGGCUACCGAGAUUAAUACUCUUGAAUAGUGGACGUUACUCGCAGAAUAAGCACCGGCUAACUCUGUGCCAGCAGCCGCGGUAAUACAGAGGGUGCAAGCGUUAAUCGGAUUUACUGGGCGUAAAGCGCGCGUAGGUGGCCAAUUAAGUCAAAUGUGAAAUCCCCGAGCUUAACUUGGGAAUUGCAUUCGAUACUGGUUGGCUAGAGUAUGGGAGAGGAUGGUAGAAUUCCAGGUGUAGCGGUGAAAUGCGUAGAGAUCUGGAGGAAUACCGAUGGCGAAGGCAGCCAUCUGGCCUAAUACUGACACUGAGGUGCGAAAGCAUGGGGAGCAAACAGGAUUAGAAACCCGGGUAGUCC
rnacentral:rRNA from 1 species